AGCUUUGCACAGUGGCAGUAUCGUAGCCAAUGAGAUUUAUCUGAGGUGAGAUUAUUGCUAAUUGAAAACAGAAUUUCAGGUUUGGUUCUCUUCAAUGAGGAAAACCGAAAAGCUUGUGUGAAAGGACCUCAGGUU